rnacentral:SRP_RNA from 2 species
GCCGGGCAUGGUGGCGUGUGCCUGUAAUCCCAGCUACUUGGGAGGCUGAGGCAGGGAAUCGCUUGAACCCGGGAGGCAGAGGUUGCAGUGAGCUGAGACUGGGGCACUGAACUCCAGCCUGGGUGACAAAGCGAGACUCCGUCUCAA